UCCCUAUGGGGUGCAGCAGGCGAGAAAACUUUGCAAUGUGCGAAAGCACGACAAGGUUAAUCCGAGUGGUUUCUGCUAAAGGAACCUUUUGUCGGUCCUAGAAACACCGAUGAAUAAGGGGUGGGCAAGUUCUGGUGUCAGCCGCCGCGGUAAAACCAGCACCUCAAGUGGUCAGGAUGAUUAUUGGGCCUAAAGCAUCCGUAGCCGGCUUUGUUAGUUUUCGGUUAAAUCUGUACGCUCAACGUACAGGCUGCCGGGAAUACUGCAGAGCUAGGGAGUGGGAGAGGUAGACGGUGCUCGGUAGGAAGGGGUAAAAUCCUUUGAUCUAUUGAUGACCACCUGUGGCGAAGGCGGUCUACCAGAACACGUCCGACGGUGAGGGAUGAAAGCUGGGGGAGCAAACCGGAUUAGAUACCCGGGUAGUCCCAGCUGUAAACUAUGCAAACUCAGUGAUGCAUUGGCUUGUGGCCAAUGCAGUGCUGCAGGGAAGCCGUUAAGUUUGCCGCCUGGGAAGUACGUACGCAAGUAUGAAACUUAAAGGAAUUGGCGGGGGAGCACCACAAGGGGUGAAGCCUGCGGUUCAAUUGGAUUCAACGCCGGAA
rnacentral:rRNA from 1 species